UACGUAGGGUGCAAGCGUUGUCCGGAAUUAUUGGGCGUAAAGAGCUCGUAGGCGGCUUGUCGCGUCGGCUGUGAAAUCCCGUGGCUCAACUGCGGGUCUGCAGCCGAUACGGGCAGGCUAGAGUUCGGUAGGGGAGACUGGAAUUCCUGGUGUAGCGGUGAAGUGCGCAGAUAUCAGGAGGAACACCGGUGGCGAAGGCGGGUCUCUGGGCCGAUACUGACGCUGAGGAGCGAAAGCGUGGGGAGCGAACAGG
rnacentral:rRNA from 1 species